rnacentral:rRNA from 1 species
GAUGAACGCUGGCGGCGUGCCUAAUACAUGCAAGUCGAGCGAACAGAAGAGGAGCUUGCUCCUCUGACGUUAGCGGCGGACGGGUGAGUAACACGUGGAUAACCUGCCUAUAAGACUGGGAUAACUUCGGGAAACCGGAGCUAAUACCGGAUAAUAUAUGGAACCGCAUGGUUCAAUAGUGAAAGACGGUUUUGCAGUAACUUAGAGAUGGAUCCGCGCCGCAUUAGCUAGUUGGUAAGGUAACGGCUUACCAAGGCAACGAUGCGUAGCCGACCUGAGAGGGUGAUCGGCCACACUGGAACUGAGACACGGUCCAGACUCCUACGGGAGGCAGCAGUAGGGAAUCUUCCGCAAUGGGCGAAAGCCUGACGGAGCAACGCCGCGUGAGUGAAGAAGGUCUUCGGAUCGUAAAACUCUGUUAUUAGGGAAGAACAAAUGUGUAAGUAACUAUUCCCGUCUUGACGUUACCUAAUCAGAAAGCCACGGCUAACUACGUG